GUGGGGAAUAUUGGACAAUGGGCGAAAGCCUGAUCCAGCGACGCCGCGUGGGUGAUGAAGGCCUUCGGGUUGUAAAGCCCUGUCGGUUGGAAAGAAUGAUGAUCACCUAACACGUGAUCAGAUGACGGUACCAGCAAAGGAAGCACCGGCUAACUCUGUGCCAGCAGCCGCGGUAAGACAGAGGGUGCAAGCGUUGUUCGGAAUCACUGGGCGUAAAGGGCGCGUAGGCGGUUGGGUGUGUCUGAUGUGAAAGCCCUCGGCUUAACCGGGGAAUGGCAUCGGAAACUACCUGACUGGAGUGCGAGAGAGGGUGGCGGAAUUCCUAGUGUAGAGGUGAAAUUCGUAGAUACUAGGAGGAACACCGGAGGCGAAGGCGGCCACCUGGCUCGUAACUGACGCUAAGGCGCGAAAGCGUGGGUAGCAAACAGGAUUAGAAACCCCUGUAGUCC
rnacentral:rRNA from 1 species